GAGAUUUUUUCUUUUUUAAUUUUUCCGAGAAAGUCGAAUAGAAAAGGACGAAAGGCUAAACAGUUAACACUGGCCGGCGGCGAUCAGGAAGAUGUCUGCGUCCCUUUCACUCUGCUUCACCGCUUCCACUUCAAACCUACGAUUUCGAACUCAACCAAGUGUUCCUCUAUUCGGGCCCAUCAAAUUGAAAUGCCCCGCCAUUUCCAAUCCCCCAAAGCUCCCAAAUCUGCUCACCGUCAGAUCCGGGCACGGAAACCCUAGCUCCGAUCGCGCAUUGGGCGGCCUAGCUGAACCCAGAUGGCAAAAAUUGCUGUCCACUGCAGCAAGCCUUUACCCUCUCUAUGUUGCAGUUGGAGGGGUGGUAGCUUGCUUGAGACCUUCCACUUUCUCGUGGUUUGUGAAGCGAGGGCCAGCUUCUUAUAGCUUGUCGCUUGGUUUCAUUAUGUUGGCAAUGGGGCUGACAUUGGAGCUCAGGGACUUCUUAAAUUUGUUCAUGCAAAGGCCCCUUUCUAUAAUUUUUGGAUGCGUUGCUCAGUAUACAAUUAUGCCAUCUCUUGGAUUUAUCAUUAGCAAAGCUUUGGGGCUUUCUCCUUCGGUUUCAGUUGGUUUAAUAUUGCUUGCUUGUUGCCCUGGAGGUACAGCGUCCAAUGUGGUGACCUUAAUUGCUCGAGGAGAUGUUCCCUUAUCUAUUGUAAUGACAGCUUGCACAACUCUUGGAGCUGUACUUCUAACUCCACUUUUAACGACAAUUCUGGCUGGAACUUAUGUUCCCAUUGAUGCUGUUAAACUUUCCAUCAGCACUCUGCAGGUGGUGGUUGCUCCAAUUCUACUGGGUUCUUAUAUACAGAGCACAUUUCCUUCAUUUGUGAAAGUUGUGACACCUUUUUCACCCCUUUUUGCCGUUCUAGCUUCAUCUCUUCUAGCUUGCAGUGUAUUCUCAGAAAAUGUCAUUCGUCUGAAAUCUUCUAUGGCUGUUGCAUCUAUAGCAUCUGGGACGUCUCCCUUUCUUAUUGCCCAAACAAUUCUAUCUGGUGAACUGGGGCUUGUAAUACUUUCCGUAGUACUAUUGCAUUUUGCAGGAUUUUUUUUGGGGUAUCUGUCAGCAACUCUUUCUGGGUUCAAGGAGCCACAACGGCGAGCAAUAUCAAUUGAGGUCGGCAUGCAAAAUUCUUCCUUAGGGGUGGUUUUAGCAGCCUCCCAUUUCACCUCACCGAUGGUUGCAUUUCCUCCUGCCAUGUCUGCUGUAAUAAUGAAUAUUAUGGGAAGCAGUUUGGGUUUCUUCUGGAGAUACAUUGAUCCAUCUGACUCAAAAACUAACCGUGGAGUUGAUGACAGCAACCAUGAAACGACUAGUUGAUGAUGGUCAAAACUAGCCACGAAGUUGAUGACAGCGACAAUCAAACGACUAGUUGAUGAUGGGUAAAUGAUGAAACCCUUUUUUUUUUUGUCAAUCACCAUAAGGGUGUGUUUGAUUGCACACAUUUAUCAUAGAAAAUGUGUAGUUAUUAUACAUAUUUUCUAUUAAAGCAAUCAAACAUUCUUAAUUUUUCUGUGAAAAAUAUGUGUAUGGUACAAAUAUUUAAAGUUUCUUUCCAUGGAAUUAUUUUCUAAGGGGGUGGGGUAAUUUUUGUUUUCUAAGUAAUGCAAUCAAACACACUCUAAGAUUCUUUUCUCUUGCCAAAAUUUUCGACCAAGUGUUAUUUAUCCGAUUAUUUUGCCUCUCCUCUGAGUUCAAAAUAUCUGUUGCCCUCAUUUUGGCCGCCUGCUGUGAACGUUACUUGUUGGAUGACUUGAGCAGACUGACCUUUCUAACAGAUUGAUUAAUGAAGGGUAUCAAAGGGCACCGGUCCGUUGAGGUGUGCGGUGCAAUGCAAAAGGGGCAGGCAUUGAUAUCUUUGGAUAUCCUAGAAUUUGCCCCAACGGCAGCAGCUAGAAGUCCCUUUCUUGAAGUAAUUAUUGCAUUAGUUUGUGUUGGCAAAGAGGAGAGGGGAGAGAUGCUCCAGGUUUAGGUGACAUUUUGUCCGAAUAGGGUUUGGUAUUCUGGUCCAUGGGUUAAGCUCAAAGGUUUAGAGAAAUUGCUAUUUUGACACUCCUUUAUGAUAUUUUGAGAGAGAUUCAUAUAUUUUAUAUGUAUUUAUGUCACAUCAAUAUAAAUGUAUAAUAUAU